AGAUAUCUUGUAUGAGUAUCUAUAUGAUGACUAUUCAGUUUCUGGGAUGUAUGUAUGUACGUACAUAUAUACAUUAGUAGUGACAUCGCAAGAAUAAACUAGAAAUAACAGUAGCGGCUAGUGCAAAGUUAUAGUAUAUUGUAAUAAAUACACCAGUAUAAGUAAUUGUAAAGAAACAAAUAGUCUAUAUUGCCGCAUCUGUAUAUGCGAUAAUAACGAGAACGAGAUACGAUCUCUGCCAAUUAUUGUAGGAGUUUCGAUAAGAUUCCUUUGGAAUUUCUAAAUAAAAAUAGAAGCCGUGACGGUUAGUCGAUUU